UGCCAGCCGCCGCGGUAAUACGAAGGGGGCUAGCGUUGUUCGGAAUCACUGGGCGUAAAGCGCGCGUAGGCGGCGCAUCGAGUUAGGCGUGAAAGGCCUGGGCUUAACCUGGGAACUGCGCUUAAUACUGGUGAGCUAGAGUCCGGAAGGGGGUGGCGGAAUUCCCAGUGUAGAGGUGAAAUUCGUAGAUAUUGGGAAGAACACCGGUGGCGAAGGCGGCCACCUGGCCAAAUACUGACGCUGAGGUGCGAAAGCGUGGGGAGCAAACAGGAUUAGAUA
rnacentral:rRNA from 1 species